GAAGCGCGCCAGACCGCCGCUGGGACAUCGGCCGAAAGGCUGUCCUGGAGGAAGGUCCGGACUGCACAGGGCAGCGCAGGAGUUAACGACUCUCCACCGCGAGGUGAGGAUCAGAGCAACAGAGACGAGUCUGGACGGGCCACCGUUCGGGGUGUUCUGGGCGGUACCGGCGCAAGCCGUGCACCGCACAGCCACCCUGGCGGCUUUGCCGCCCAGGGUGAAACGGGCAAUCUCUGCGCGCAGCAACACCAAAUAGGCCAGUGCAAACGGCUGCGGUUUCGGCCGCGGCCGCAUGACAUGCGGCUCGCAUGAGCUGGCGGGUAGGUGGCACCGAGCCGGGUGGGCGACCCCCGGCCCAGAGGAAUGGCGGUCACGCCGCGCACCGGGCAGCCGGGGCGCGGUGCACAGAAUCCGGCCUAUCGGCGCGCUUCACAC
rnacentral:RNase_P_RNA from 1 species